rnacentral:rRNA from 1 species
AGAGUUUGAUCCUGGCUCAGGACAAACGCUGGCGGCGUGCGUAACACAUGCAAGUCGGACGAGGUGAGACUUCGGUUUCAUCGAGUGGCGGACGGGUGAGUAACACGUGAGUGACCAACUCUCCAGUGGGGGAUACCCGGCGGAAACGCUGGUUAAUCCCGCAUACGAUCCUUCGGGAGGAAAGCAGCAAUGCGCUGGAG